rnacentral:rRNA from 1 species
AUUGAACGCUGGCGGCAGGCUUAGCACAUGCAAGUCGAGCGGUAACAGAGAGAAGCUUGCUUCUCUGCUGACGAGCGGCGGACGGGUGAGUAAUGCCUAGGAAUCUGCCUAGUAGUGGGGGAUAACUUGCCGAAAGGUAAGCUAAUACCGCAUACGUCCUACGGGAGAAAGGAGGGGACCUUCGGGCCUUUCGCUAUUAGAUGAGCCUAGGUCGGAUUAGCUAGUUGGUGAGGUAAUGGCUCACCAAGACCGCGAUCCGUAACUGGUCUGAGAGGAUAAUCAGUCACACUGGAACUGAGACACGGUCCAGACUCCUACGGGAGGCAGCAGUGGGGAAUAUUGGACAAUGGGGGGAACCCUGAUCCAACCAUGCCGCGUGUGUGAAGAAGGUCUUAGGAUUGUAAAGCACUUUAAGUUGGGAGGAAGAGCAGUUAACUAAUAUUUGACUGUUUUGACGUUACCGACAGAAUAAGCACCGGCUAACUUCGUGCCAGCAGCCGCAGUAA